GCGCGGCUGCAGGCCCCGAGCCGAGCGUGGAAGCGGGACGCGCAGGGAGCGUGACGGCGGCUGGACGGAGGCAGGCGUGCGGGAGGGGAUGGAGCCCCUUGCUGCCAGCAGUGUCGUCACGCGCCCGGUGACUCCGCUGGCAGAGCGAGGCAAGCAGAGGACUGAGGAUCAUUAGGCUUCCAGAAGGAGACUGGAGCGAUAUUAGCAGCCUAGGAGUGAAGGGAGUGGCCGGGAUCAAGGGAGUCAUUCAGCCGGGCUGCCGGCUUCCUUCUAAGUUAGAGAAACGAUUCGGAGGCUGCCAACUCGAGGUGAAAAUCUUGCCACCUGUUAAAAUGAAGGAGCAGAGUUGUGAAAUUAUGAAUAAUAUGAGUUUGCCUUCCACCCACUGGCCAGACGUGGGAGAGAAAGAGGACUUACUUAUCUUCUAACUGGAAGUUUGUACCUUUUGGCCACCUGCAUCCAAUUUCCGGUGCCCCCACCCUUACCUCCAGGAACCACAGAUCCCACCUCUU